CAGAGACCUCAAGCGUUAUCCGGAAUCAUUGGGCGUAAGCGUUCCGAUCGGUGGUCCUGUGUGUCUGAAGUGAAAGACCGGAGCUUAACUCCGUGUUUGCUUUGGAAACUGCAGGACUUGAGUAGUAAAGGGGUGGCUGGAACUCUGCAAGUAGCGGUGAAAUGCGUUGAUAUGCAGGGGAACACCUAAAGCGAAGGCAGGCCACUGGGUACUUACUGACACUGCUAGGACGAAAGCGUGGGGGAGCGAAUAGGAUU
rnacentral:rRNA from 1 species